UACGAAGGGGGCUAGCGUUGCUCGGAAUCACUGGGCGUAAAGCGCACGUAGGCGGAUUGUUAAGUCAGGGGUGAAAUCCUGGAGCUCAACUCCAGAACUGCCUUUGAUACUGGCGAUCUUGAGUCCGGGAGAGGUGAGUGGAACUGCGAGUGUAGAGGUGAAAUUCGUAGAUAUUCGCAAGAACACCAGUGGCGAAGGCGGCUUUCUGGUCCGAUUCUGACGCUGAGGCGCGAAAGCGUGGGGAGCGAUCCGG
rnacentral:rRNA from 1 species